rnacentral:rRNA from 1 species
AGUAACGCGUGGGUAACCUGCCUUAUACAGGGGGAUAACAGUCAGAAAUGGCUGCUAAUACCGCAUAAGCGCACAGAGCUGCAUGGCUCAGUGUGAAAAACUCCGGUGGUAUAAGAUGGACCCGCGUUGGAUUAGCUGGUUGGUGAGGUAACGGCCCACCAAGGCGACGAUCAGUAGCCGGCCUGAGAGGGUGAACGGCCACAUUGGGACUGAGACACGGCCCAG